rnacentral:rRNA from 1 species
UACAGAGGUCUCAAGCGUUGUUCGGAUUCAUUGGGCGUAAAGGGUGUGUAGGUGGCGCGCUAAGUCAGGUGUGAAAUUUCGGAGCUUAACUCCGAAACUGCAUUUGAUACUGGCGUGCUUGAGGACUGGAGAGGGGACUGGAAUUUACGGUGUAGCAGUGAAAUGCGUAGAUAUCGUAAGGAAGACCAGUGGCGAAGGCGGGUCUCUGGACAGUUCCUGACACUGAGACACGAAGGCCAGGGGAGCAAACGGG